rnacentral:rRNA from 1 species
GAUGAACGCUGGCGGCGUGCCUAAUACAUGCAAGUCGAACGGGUGUAGCAAUACAUUAGUGGCGAACGGGUGAGUAACACGUUGGUGACCUGCCCUAAAGAGGGGAAUACCACUUCGAAAGGAGUGACAAAACCGCAUAAGCUAGUGCUAGUUAGAGAGGCAUUAGUAAAAGAGAAAUCUACUUUAGGAGGGGCCUGCGGCCCAUCAGCUAGUUGGUGAGGUAAAAGCCCACCAAGGCGAAGACGGGUAGGGGACCCGAGAGGGUGAUCCCCCACAAUGGAACUGAAACACGGUCCAUACACCUGCGGGUGGCAGCAGUAGGGAAUAUUGCUUAAUGGGCGAAAGCCUGAAGCAGCAACGCCGCGUGAACGAAGAAGGCCUUCGGGUCGUAAGGUUCUUUUACGUGGGAUGAGGAAGGACAGUACCACGAGAAUAAGUCUCGGCUAACUACGUGCCAGCAGCCGCGGUAAAACGUAGGAGACGAGCGUUAUCCGGAUUUACUGGGCGUAAAGAGCGUGUAGGAGGCGCUACAAGUUGGAUGUAAAAGCUCCCGGCUUAACUGGGAGAGGUCGUUCAAGACUGUAGAGCUAGAGUGAGGCAGAGGUAGAUGGAACUCCGGGAGUAGUGGUGAAAUGCGUAGAUAUCCGGAAGAACACCAGAGGCGAAAGCGAUCUACUGGACCUUAACUGACACUGAGACGCGAAAGCCAGGGUAGCAAACGGGAUUAGAGACCCCGGUAGUCCUGGCCGUAAACGAUGUAGACUGAGCGUUGGAUGGGUAAAACCGUUCAGUGCUGAAGCAAACGCGAUAAGUCUACCGCCUGGGGAGUACGGUCGCAAGAUUAAAACUCAAAGGAAUUGACGGGGGCCCGCACAAGCAGCGGAGCGUGUGGUUUAAUUCGAUGAUACACGAAGAACCUUACCAGGGUUUGACAUACAAGUGGUAGAGAAGGGAAACCGGAUCGACCCUUCGGGGAGCUUGAACAGGUGCUGCAUGGCUGUCGUCAGCUCGUGUCGUGAGAUGUUCGGUUAAGUCCGCUAACGAGCGCAACCCUUGUUGUGUGUUACACGUAUCACGCAAGACCGCCGGUAGAAAGCCGGAGGAAGGUGGGGAUGAUGUCAAGUCAGCAUGGCCUUUAUAUCCUGGGCUACACACACGCUACAAUGGUCGGUACAAUGGGUCGCUAAGCCGCGAGGCGGAGCCAAUCCUAAAAAGCCGGCCCCAGUUCAGAUUGCAGGCUGCAACUCGCCUGCAUGAAGAUGGAGUUGCUAGUAACCGCAGGUCAGCAAUACUGCGGUGAAUACGUUCCCGGGCCUUGUACACACCGCCCGUCACGUCAUGGAAGUUGGCAACACCUGAAGCCGGUAUCCUAACCGAAAGGAGGGAGCCGUCAAAGGUGGGGUCGAUAACUGGGACG